rnacentral:lncRNA from 1 species
UUCAUCAUGAUUAUCAUCCCUCCACAAGUAUAUGAUCAUGAUCAUCCAUAGAUCUCCACCACUGCAUAUAUAUAUAUACACACACACACACACACACAACAUCAAUAUAGAUCAAUAUCAGGAGGGAGAUGUUUCAGAAGAUAACUACAUAUAUAUAUAUAUAUAUAUGUUGUGCAUGAGCUAUAUACAUAACAUAUCCAUGAUCUAUAAAAUAAAACUAAAAAAUCACAUGCCGAUCAUCAUCGUUC